GGUAAGGGUGAAAAGGUGCGGUAAGAGCGCACCGCGCCGCUGGUAACAGCGGUGGCAGGGUAAACCCCACCCGGAGCAAGACCAAAUAGGGAUCCUAUGGCGUGGCCCGCGCUGGAUCCGGGUAGGUUGCUAGAGGCUGAUGGCGACGUUAGCCCCAGAUGAAUGACUGUCCACGACAGAACCCGGCUUAUCGACCGGUCCGCCUA
rnacentral:RNase_P_RNA from 1 species